rnacentral:pre_miRNA from 1 species
GGGGGGAGGCCGGAUCCUGGGCAGUGUCCCGUCGCCCUCUGCUUCAGGGCCUGUGCUGUUGGAUUUCUGCUCCUGGCCACGCAGCCCCCU